UACAGAGGGGGCAAGCGUUGUUCGGAAUUACUGGGCGUAAAGGGCGCGUAGGCGGCCUGUUAAGUCGAACGUGAAAUCCCCGGGCUCAACCCGGGAACUGCGUCCGAUACUGGCAGGCUUGAAUCCGGGAGAGGGAUGCGGAAUUCCAGGUGUAGCGGUGAAAUGCGUAGAUAUCUGGAGGAACACCGGUGGCGAAGGCGGCAUCCUGGGACCGGCAUUGACGCUGAGGCGCGAAAGCCAGGGGAGCAAACGGG
rnacentral:rRNA from 1 species